rnacentral:rRNA from 1 species
UACGUAGGGUGCGAGCGUUGUCCGGAAUUAUUGGGCGUAAAGAGCUCGUAGGCGGCGUGUCACGUCGGCCGUGAAAACCUGCAGCUUAACUGUGGGCGUGCGGGCGAUACGGGCAGACUGGAGUACUGCAGGGGAGACUGGAAUUCCUGGUGUAGCGGUGGAAUGCGCAGAUAUCAGGAGGAACACCGGUGGCGAAGGCGGGUCUCUGGGCAGUAACUGACGCUGAGGAGCGAAAGCGUGGGGAGCGAACAGG